AGUGAACGCUGGCGGUAGGCCUAACACAUGCAAGUCGAACGGCAGCACAGUAAGAGCUUGCUCUUACGGGUGGCGAGUGGCGGACGGGUGAGGAAUACAUCGGAAUCUACUUUUUCUUGGGGGAUAACGUAGGGAAACUUACGCUAAUACCGCAUACGACCUACGGGUGAAAGCAGGGGUUCUUCGGACCUUUCGCGAUUGAAUGAGCCGAUGCCGGAUUAGCUAGUUGGCGGGGUAAGGGCACACCAAGGCGACGAUACGUAGCUGAGCUGAGAGGAUGAUCAGCCACACUGGAACUGAGACACGGUCCAGACUCCUACGGGAGGCAGCAGUGGGGAAUAUUGGACAAUGGGCGAAAGCCUGACCCAGCAAUACCGCGUGGGUGAAGAAGGCCUUCGGGUUGUAAAGCCCUUUUGUUGGGAAAGAAAAGCAGCAGGUUAAUACCCCGCUGUUCUGACGGUACCUAAAGAGUAAGCACCGGCUAACUUCGUG
rnacentral:rRNA from 1 species